CCUGACUUAUAGAGUCAUUGCAGGUGUCAGUGCUGUUUCACAUGUGUGUCAGUAGGUGGCAGAAAAGAGAUACACUAUGUCUACCCAGUAUUUGAACNNN
rnacentral:snoRNA from 14 species